GUAAAAUGCAAUACAUUGUUUUCUACAAUUAUCGAAAGCUGAACAAUUAAAAAUGUAAUGGUAUUCAUCACCAAUGGCAUCUGAAUUACACAAUACACAUUUUCUGUUUUCUCUUUCUAUGUUUUGCCAUCUUCCAGUUUCUAUUGGAGAUUUCAUGUUCAAAGUUCCAAAUUUAAGAAAUAAGGAUAUCUGCCGGUCAUCCAAAAUAAAUAUUUCU
rnacentral:lncRNA from 1 species